rnacentral:rRNA from 1 species
GACGAACGCUGGCGGCGUGCUUAACACAUGCAAGUCGAACGGAAAGGCCCUGCUUUUGUGGGGUGCUCGAGUGGCGAACGGGUGAGUAACACGUGAGUAACCUGCCCUUGACUUUGGGAUAACUUCAGGAAACUGGGGCUAAUACCGGAUAGGAGCUCCUGCUGCAUGGUGGGUGUUGGAAAGUUUCGGCGGUUGGGGAUGGACUCGCGGCUUAUCAGCUUGUUGGUGGGGUAGUGGCUUACCAAGGCUUUGACGGGUAGCCGGCCUGAGAGGGUGACCGGCCACAUUGGGACUGAGAUACGGCCCAGACUCCUACGGGAGGCAGCAGUGGGGAAUAUUGCACAAUGGGCGGAAGCCUGAUGCAGCAACGCCGCGUGCGGGGUGACGGCCUUCGGGUUGUAAACCGCUUUCGCCUGUGACGAAGCGUGAGUGACGGUAAUGGGUAAAGAAGCACCGGCUAACUACGUG